rnacentral:snRNA from 1 species
GCACAUCUGUUAAAAGAUAACG